rnacentral:lncRNA from 1 species
AGUAAGAUACGACGUAGGAAUUACCUACGAGUCCCUGCUAGCUCCUGCUUGUUCCAGGUCCCAACCAGGAAUCACAUUUUUACAAUUUUUGGUUCCUACUGGUUCGGGUCACCACUGCAAAGCAGGCCCCUGCAACCUUUGGAUUUAAUGAUCCCAACUAGGAGCAGUCAUCACCAACAUCAAUAUCAAUGGACAAUCCAGUAGCAACAAUCUAGCAAGCCCU